AAACAAGAGGCAUCUCAUUACUUUCCCGUUGACCAUACUUUCCCCCCUUCUUUUCCCGCGAACCAAACGAGCCCUAAUUGUAUGAGAAAAGUCAGCACAGCCUUUCUCCCUCUAUUUCACCUGCAAACAGUCUAAGAGAGGAGAAAUAGAGGAGAAAGGGAGAGAGUGGAAGGGUGAGUGGGGAGGGUAGAUCCAACGUUCAGCAUGGUAGUUUCCCACUCCCUACUUUUUGUUAUAUCCAAAAAGAAUUAAGGGCAAAUUAUGCUAAAAUUUUGUAUUUUGGCAUGAUUUCGUGAUAUACUUUAUAUCUUAGUGAGAUCUUCGCAUUGGUAUAAAUUUUUGAUUUUUUAAUAAAAUAGAUAUUUUUGGAUAAAAUUUAAUAAAAGCUAAAGGAGAUGUUAGAUUCCAG
rnacentral:lncRNA from 1 species